GACGAACGCUGGCGGCGUGCCUAAUACAUGCAAGUUGAGCGCUGAAGGUUGGUACUUGUACCGACUGGAUGAGCAGCGAACGGGUGAGUAACGCGUGGGGAAUCUGCCUUUGAGCGGGGGACAACAUUUGGAAACGAAUGCUAAUACCGCAUAAAAACUUUAAACACAAGUUUUAAGUUUGAAAGAUGCAAUUGCAUCACUCAAAGAUGAUCCCGCGUUGUAUUAGCUAGUUGGUGAGGUAAAGGCUCACCAAGGCGAUGAUACAUAGCCGACCUGAGAGGGUGAUCGGCCACAUUGGGACUGAGACACGGCCCAAACUCCUACGGGAGGCAGCAGUAGGGAAUCUUCGGCAAUGGACGAAAGUCUGACCGAGAAACGCCGCGGGAGGGAAGAAGGUUUUCGGAUCGUAAAACUCUGUUGGUAGAGAAGAACGUUGGUGAGAGUGGAAAGCUCAUCAAGUGACGGUAACUACCCAGAAAGGGACGGCUAACUACGUG
rnacentral:rRNA from 1 species